rnacentral:rRNA from 1 species
UACAGAGGUCUCAAGCGUUGUUCGGAUUCAUUGGGCGUAAAGGGCUCGUAGGCGGUCCGUCACGUCGGAAGUGAAAACCUAGAGCUUAACUCUGGGCCUGCUUUCGAUACGGGCGAACUUGAGUUCGGUAGGGGAGACUGGAAUUCCUGGUGUAGCGGUGGAAUGCGCAGAUAUCAGGAGGAACACCAAUGGCGAAGGCAGGUCUCUGGGCCGAUACUGACGCUGAGGAGCGAAAGCGUGGGGAGCGAACAGG